rnacentral:rRNA from 1 species
GACGAACGCUGGCGGCGUGCCUAAUACAUGCAAGUCGAGCGCAGGAAACUGACGGAACUCUUCGGAGGGAAGGCAGUGGAAUGAGCGGCGGACGGGUGAGUAACACGUAAGGAACCUGCCUCAAGGAUUGGGAUAACUCCGAGAAAUCGGAGCUAAUACCGGAUAGUUCAACGGACCGCAUGGUCCGCUGAUGAAAGGCGCUGCGGCGUCACCUUGAGAUGGCCUUGCGGUGCAGUAGCUAGUUGGUGGGGUAACGGCCCACCAAGGCGACGAUGCAUAGCCGACCUGAGAGGGUGAUCGGCCACACUGGGACUGAGACACGGCCCAGACUCCUACGGGAGGCAGCAGUAGGGAAUCUUCCACAAUGGACGAAAGUCUGAUGGAGCAACGCCGCGUGAGUGAUGAAGGUUUUCGGAUCGUAAAACUCUGUUGUAAGGGAAGAACACGUACGAGAGGGAAUGCUCGUACCUUGACGGUACCUUACGAGAAAGCCACGGCUAACUACGUGCCAGCCGCCGCGGUAAUAC